rnacentral:tRNA from 1 species
GUGGCUCAGUGGUACAGCAUCUGCUUGGCAUGCAGAGGGUCCCAGGUUCUAAUCCCUGGCCUCUCCA